rnacentral:rRNA from 1 species
GAUGAACGCUAGCUACAGGCUUAACACACGCAAGUCGAGGGGAAACGAUAUUGGAAGCUUGCUUCCGAUAGGCGUCGACCGGCGCACGGGUGAGUAACGCGUAUCCAACCUGCCCAUCACUUGGGGAUAACCUUGCGAAAGUAAGACUAAUACCCAAUGACGUCUCUAGAAGACAUCUGAAGGAGAUUAAAGAUUUAUCGGUGAUGGAUGGGGAUGCGUCUGAUUAGCUUGUUGGCGGGGUAACGGCCCACCAAGGCGACGAUCAGUAGGGGAUCUGAGAGGAAGGGCCCCCACAUUGGAACUGAGACACGGUCCAAACUCCUACGGGAGGCAGCAGUGAGGAAUAUUGGUCAAUGGGCGAGAGCCUGAACCAGCCAAGUAGCGUGCAGGAAGACGGCCCUAUGGGUUGUAAACUGCUUUUAUAAGGGAAUAAAGUGGGAGUCGUGACUCCUUUUGCAUGUACCUUAUGAAUAAGGACCGGCUAAUUCCGUGCCAGCCGCCGCCGUAA